rnacentral:rRNA from 1 species
AGUGAACGCUGGCGGUAGGCCUAACACAUGCAAGUCGAACGGCAGCACAGUAAGAGCUUGCUCUUACGGGUGGCGAGUGGCGGACGGGUGAGGAAUACAUCGGAAUCUACUUUUUCGUGGGGGAUAACGUAGGGAAACUUACGCUAAUACCCCAAAGAACCUACGGUGGAAACCAGGGAAUCUUCGACCCUGGGCCGAUGGAUGAAGCGGAUGUCGGAUUAGCUAGUUGGCGGGGUAAAGGCCCACCAAGGCGACGAUCCUUAGCUGGUCUGAGAGGAUGAUCAGCCACACUGGAACUGAGACACGGUCCAGACUCCUACGGGAGGCAGCAGUGGGGAAUAUUGGACAAUGGGCGCAAGCCUGAUCCAGCCAUACCGCGUGGGUGAAGAAGGCCUUCGGGUUGUAAAGCCCUUUUGUUGGGAAAGAAAAGCAGCAGGUUAAUACCCCGCUGUUCUGACGGUACCCAAAGAAUAAGCACCGGCUAACUUCGUG